CCUACGGGUGGCAGCAGUGAGGAAUAUUGGUCAAUGGGCGGAAGCCUGAACCAGCCAAGUCGCGUGAGUGAAGACGGUCCUAUGGAUUGUAAACCUCUUUUGUCGGGGAGCAAAAGACGCCACGCGUGGCGUUCCGAGAGUACCCGAAGAAAAAGCAUCGGCUAACUCCGUGCCAGCAGCCGCGGUAAUACGGGGGAUGCGAGCGUUAUCCGGAUCGAUUGGGGUAAAGGGGUGCGCAGGCGGAAGAUCAAGUCAGCGGUAAAAUUGAGGGGCUCAACCUCUUCGAGCCGUUGAAACUGGUUUUCUUGAGUGUGUGAGAGGGAUGCAGAAUGCGUGGUGUAGCGGUGAAAUGCAUAGAGAUCACGCAGAACUCCGAUUGCGAAGGCAGCAUACCGG
rnacentral:rRNA from 1 species